rnacentral:rRNA from 1 species
UACAGAGGUCUCAAGCGUUGUUCGGAUUCAUUGGGCGUAAAGGGUGCGUAGGUGGCGCUGUAAGUCGGGUGUGAAAUUUCGGAGCUUAACUCCGAAACUGCAUUCGAUACUGCGGUGCUUGAGGACUGGAGAGGAGACUGGAAUUUAUGGUGUAGCAGUGAAAUGCGUAGAGAUCAUAAGGAAGACUAGUGGCGAAGGCGGGUCUCUGGACAGUUCCUGACACUGAGGCACGAAGGCCAGGGGAGCAAACGGG